ACUUCAGUAGCUUAUUUACAGAGUAUUAUAUUGAAGAUAUAAUGGAGGAAAUUUAUCCUUGGAGUA
rnacentral:tRNA from 1 species